UGGGACACAAACAACUGGGUGAUCAUUGUGAGCAAUCAAAAAUACUAAGCCAGUGUCCGUUACUCAAUAUCAGUUUCUGCCCACCAACUGAGCAAGAUCUUCAAGGAGGGAAUAGUUUGGUCAUGGUGGUGUACAACCCCCUUGGAUGGAUUCGCAAUGAUGUUGUUAGAAUACCAGUUCAUGGUGCUGAUCUGGUUGUCCAAGAUAUCUCGGGCCAAACCAUUGAAACACAAUUUGUCGCUAUUGAUAAAGUCACAAAUAACAUAAGUGAGUUGUAUGUGAAGGCCAACUUGGGACUGCCGAGGGGACAAUUUCCCAAGUACUGGCUUCUGUUUCAAGUAUCAGUUCCUCAACUUGGAUGGAACACGUACUUUAUUUCUAAAGGAGGUGGUGGAGGUAAAAGAAGAUCUGAAUUUCUUCCCGUGGACAGUCAGAACGAUACCAUUGAAGUUGGACCUGGCCAGUUGAAGAUGUCCUUUUCUAUUGCAUCUGGUCAACUUAAACGCAUGUACAAUUCAAAAACCGGGGUUGAUGUACCAAUACAACAAAGCUAUCUUUGGUAUG
rnacentral:misc_RNA from 1 species